rnacentral:lncRNA from 1 species
UCCCUAUUAGCUCUGAAUCGGUAGGCAAUGGACCGGGAGAACCAGACUUGGGAGUACCCGCCAUCGCUAGGAUCGGAAGACAGAGAAUGAGGAGGCAGUCCAUGCAUUCGUACCGGGCCCGCUAGUUCUAUUCUUCCUUCUCCCCCAAGGCAGUAAACCAUCUUCUGAAGUCACCGUCCACUCCAUCUUCUAAUGCUUGGGAAACCCUAAGCAACCAACCAACCCAACUGACCGAGAAAGAAGUGGAACUUCUUUCAGCUGAGGAAUAGCGAGAUGCAAGCUAAGGAAUAGCGCUUGUCUUGAUUCAGUUAAGAUAGUGCAACGAAGCAGAUCUUUCAUUUAGUUGAUAGUCACCUUUUCUUUCUCUUCAGGUCCCCUAAAGAAAGGUAUCAUAAGAGUGAAUAAGGGAUUCAUUCAAUGUAUUGAUGGAUAUGUACCUUAUCUCUCUCUUUCAUCUCCAUACCAACUUUCCCUACCUCACCGCCGGCGGGUGCACAAGAACCGAAUUCCUCAGAUUUUGGUUGAAAUAACCAGGCUGCAACAAACAAAGUCAGUUUUAAGGAAAAUGUAGCCCCCGGUUAGAGCGCUUUACCUAUAAUUUCUUAGAAGAGGAAGAUCUAGCUCAGCUGGUGGUAUAGGAUAGGAUGAGCUAACUGAAGCAGUGAUGAGCUAGGAGAAAGGCUUUAUCCACCCGGUUUAGAGGAAAGUAGAAAGAUAGGUUUAAGAUUGGCUCUCUAUAGUUAUAUUUAGGAAAGCUCAAUAUCUCCAUGAACCCUUGCUGCAAAAGUCAUGCUUUUCAAUCAUAGAAGUGAAAGUUCCGAUUCCAUCCAGUGAACCGAUUCAAUCCAUUCCAAAAGCAGAAGGGAGUGUUCUAGUGGGGAGGAGAAUCUCAUUUUGUAUAGGCUAAGGUCUACACCAGUGAUCUUAAGCGGACCUGACCCCUAACUAAAAGGAAUUAGUAAAGGAAAGAUGAAGUAGUGUGGGACGAAUGAGAUCUUUGUAUUGAUUGGGGCAGGCAAGACCUGCUGUCCAAUGCUUUCGCUUCAGCUAAAGAAGGAAGAGUCAGUUAUGUGCCCUUUCGCCCGGUAAGAUGAGUUUACCGCUCCGAAGGUGAGUUUUUAUUCUAUAAUACCACACGGUACUCUCUCACUGCUGAAUGCCCUGUCUGGUACGGCCUAUUCCCUUAUGGUAUGGAUAGGGAAAGAGCUGAGUUGAGUUCGUGAUUCACGGGUGAGUAGCGCUCACGGAGCUAAGUUUCUGCUUGGCCGGGAUUGUAAAUGAGCCUGAUCAUUGGGUGGGGAACGUAUAUAGAAUCGAGCUUCUUUUAAUAUAUAUAUAUAAGACGUUAUUCCAGAUUCAAUUGAAAGUGCCAGUGUCAAGUUAUGGUUAUUCCGAAGUACUCCUCAUGGCACUAUCCUCAGAAAGGCUUUGUCCAAUAGCGACAUCCGCUCCCGGAAUAACAUUUCAAUUUUACACAACUAUAUUCUUCUAUUUAGGGUCAUGCACCUGCUACGCUUGUCCUUACUCUUUUUUAUGACGAGAUACAUAAUAAUAUAAGGGGAAUUUCUGCUUCUACCUAGAUGUUACUAACGUAGCGAAUUACAGAAAUAUGUAAUUUCAUUAUUCUAUUAGAAACCUCAUUCAUCUCCUUUCGAUUCUAACUUAGUGUAAGCCCAUCAAUACGGCCUCUUUAGACUCCCUGUCCGACUUGACACACACCCCAAUCAAGAUCUUGGUGGUAAACUAAACCUACCACUUUAAGCGCCCUUUCCGUUAAUGACAUGACUUCUGUCUAUAGCGAACACCCGCGAAUGCAUAGACUUCGUUCCCCAUACCAGGAGAUAGCCUUAUCUGCUUUGCCAAAGCUAAAACUGAUAGCUAUUUCGAAUCCUGGCAAACUCUUUAGUAGCUUAUCCAUCUCUUUCUCUUUGUAAGUUAGUAGCUUGCUUAUUUGAAGGCACUGACUUAGCGGACGCGUAGUUCAAUCCUUCUUUCUCUUGUUCGUGAUGAUGUCAUUCUCGCGGCUUGGAAGAGUCCCGCCUAUUUCCUAUGGGAUUCUAUAGUUUGUUGUUUCGGGUGUGGGAUGAUCCCUUCUAGCAUCCCGUAACCCUGCCUUUGAGCAAUUCUUGUCUUACUUAGGCUUCCUUCAGAAAAGAGAAAAGCGCCAACGGCAAGAGCUAAUUCAGCUAAAUCAAUGGCAUCUUCCUAAAAGAAAGAAUUGACUUACCUUGCUGCUUUGAUUAGGACUUUGCCCCGGGGGGAGUUCUUUUGAAAUCAAUUUUUCGAUGGGAACCUUUAAUCUUAAUAGAGUGGAAAAAAACCAAGCAAGAUUCAUCGCCCGAAAGCACGGGAAUCAACUUGACUUCUCAGAUGCGGAUUGAUUUCCUGUUGAUGGCGGAGUGAUCGUAUCUGCAGUUCUUGUUGACGACUUCGGUCCUAUAGAAGAAGCUGGUAUUUGACCGCUUUCCUUGGCUAAAGUAAAGGGGAUCGAUCCGGGGGAGGGGGAAUUGAAUCAUCAACUGUGGCACUGACUUGAGGAAUAAAGCAGUGAAUGCUGCCGAUACCGGAGCAGCUAAAACAAUUGUAAAAGUAAGAUCAGAAUGCCGACGUCCCCAUGUGUGGCACUUUCGGAUUGCCGAUAUUCAAGCAUCUAAUAGAAAUGUACGAGGAGGGAGUAAGUUUAAAAUGCCGAGAAUCCCCUGCUGCUGCUAUUGAAUGCGCAGCUAUUGGCUCAGCUCUUAGGACAAAGACGGUGGAAGACUAGGCUGCAUCGAAUGCCAUGGUUCUUGUUCUCGAAUCAGCAGCUAUUGAAAUUGAAGACGGUGUUCGGGAUUUUCCUGUUAGCCCUGAGAUAAGCAUUUCUUUAGCAAUAGUAAUUGCCUGCUUCGAGUCUUGUUUCCCACAGAUCUGCUAUAUGGAUGCCCAAAGGAUUCGGCAGGCGAGACAGAUAUUUUAUUAAGUUAAGAAAGCGAGGAUAUGAUUAAGGCCUUUGAAACUAGUCUUGAUGCCUCAAAUCCGCAGAAUCUAGCUCUUUUCACUCAAUCUGAGGGGCAGGAAGGAUUCAUAGUAGUAGAAUCGGACAAGGAAGUGACACAUUAAUGACUAUGGAUAGUUUAGAGCGAGCAAGAUGGAAGGGUGUAAGAAUCCGCUUCUUGGGAAAGUGAAUCCGAAGGGGUUGUGCAAAGGAUUCGGCAGGCGAGACCUUCCUGGCCUAAUUUCAUUCUCUUAGCAUGGAUCACCUACCAAGCGCAGGGCAGGGGCAUCUAGACUAGCCAGGGAAAUCCCAUCAUGGGGGAAAGCGCAAUCACAAGAACUGUGCUUAAAUCCCUACUUCCACCGAAUCUCGUGCAGCAGGAACCAUCCGACUUGUUUUUCCUCAAACUUUUGAAAUGAAAUUGACGGCUAGGAAGGAAAAUAGGAUGUAGGAAAAAAAUCCCGAAUUUCCGCAUCUACCGUCAGAGCCUACUCUCAGGAGGGCAAGUCAGGCAUGGAAUCACGCUAAGGUAAGGUUUCUAAUCCAUCUAGAAUAGGAUCUACAAAAGAUAUUCGAUUUCCCACUUAUUCAGUCAGCCUUGCUUGAAGAGCCUUCUCUCUCCGGGGUAGAGGAAUAAUAGCUAAUCAGGUAGACCGGUUGCAAUCAGUCUUUGCAAGUCCAAGAUCAGCUGUGUAAGAAAAGUAGUGUGCUCACGAGCCGGGAUCAGGAAGUUCUCCUACAGUGAAGAAAGAAAGAAGUGCUGGUUCGAGUCAAGCUUGUGAAAAGGUGACUGGGUCAUCUACAAGUGUACCGUCCUCAUGCAGAUACACAACGUAAUCAUAAGAAAGGGCAGGUCUCCUCUCUCUUUUUGAUCUCCUCAAUGCCACUUGACCUCCCACAGGUGGUGCCUGAUGUGGGGUAUCAACGGCUGGAAAAGGUUCCUGCUUUGGUUUAUCCCUGUCCCUGUACCACAGGCUGAGUUUCCACAGCGCUUGGCUGUUCCACUGGAUAUGGAAAGGUCAGUUCGCUAGGAACAGUCGGAGGAGGUUCCUCGGGUUCUGGUAACUCCUCAAAGAGAAUGUAUCGAGGUUCUAACACCCCACUUACUUUUGUCCUAAAAGAAUCUUGCUAACUUGGUCUCAGCAAUCCUGAUCGGGAGCGAUGGGCAAUCAAACUUAUAUCCCUUAUACCUCUCGAAGUAUCCGAUGAAGUAUCCACUAAGGGUCCAACUUCUUCUCUUGUGGGUUAUAAACCCACCCUGGCCUCUGCCUGACAACCCCAAGUAUGGAAAUGUGCUAAACUGGCUUUCCUUUCUCAUUACCUUGGACUAUCGGUUGAGACUCUCCGACAUCCGUAAACUGUUGGUCUAUUCCUUAGUUCCAUUUCCUUCUAACCCUGUCGCUCCACUCGGUACCCUAUCGGAAAACUCUAACUUGGCAAUUGAACGACUUCCUGCCUUUCCCCGGGGUCGACUAACAAAGGUACCGUCUUUAUUCCCUUGAUCUUCGUAAACAACACUCUAACCCGUAUUCGAUUCGUAAGGCUACGCCCCUUGCUGUCCCCAUUGAAGUCGUCUUGAAGAGACUCUCCUGUAAGUCUUUACUUGCUAAACGACUUGCCUUAUCAGACUCAGAUGCGGGUUACCUUUCUAUGGGUAGACUUAACACCAGCCCAAUCUCGACAAAAUCAGUCUUCCUCUAUCACAUCAGUCUCACCAACCGCGGAUGUGGGACUUGCAGCGGCAAGGAGAACUCUAACAGCGGAUAAGAUCCAAGCUCCUUCUCCAACAGCGGCAAGAGAUCGUCCGUAUGCAUCGACAUCGUCCGCGAUUCGAUAGCAUAGGGAAGCAUGGAAUCGGACGCUAGCUUCUCUCUUUUCUUAAAUGCGCGGUGCUUAACACAUGCGGAUCGGACCCCUUCCCUUAUGGGAUUGUCGCCUCAGUUCCUCCUUUCCCUUCUCGUCGACGGGGGUGAGUGGGCCUAGAGCGGGAACAGGGAAGAAGUGACGGGGGUCUUUCGAGAUUGAAUGUGACUGAGAAUUGUGUUGUGUAUAUAGAGUUCUGUCUUUCGAAGCGAGCCAUUGGCAAGGAAUUGAUGCACAGAAUAACCUAAAAUAUCACAUGAAUGCACUCCCCGAAGACUCUCGAGUAGCUAAGGAAGGGCAAAAAGGAUUCAGGCAACCAAUUCCAUAAGUCAAGAAAGAAGGCGAAUUGACCAAGCCUAGUCUAAGAGCAGGAUGAAGUAGCAAAGGGGGAACUUCUUUCCCUGGAAGGGAAUGGGGAAUGUAUUAUGUCGACUAGAACUAGAAUAGAGGAACUCCUCUAAUAUAGAAUAGAUACAGCGAUGGAGGCGACUGCAGCGAAUAGGCCAACAGCUGAGAUGGGGCUAGGCGAUGUCUGUUUAAAGAGAAUGUCCCCCGCUGCUCUCUGUUCUUCUUACUAGCAUCUCUAGCUGUUCCGCUUUCCUUUGCUGAAGCAUUGAGGAGUGAUCGAUCCGAGGGAAGAGACUGCUGGUAGCUAACCGGUUGUGCUGGAAUUGUUGGUUCGGCUUGGUUGGCUGAUGAGGAAAGAGAGCUGCUGUGGUUGUUCCUCUCUUCCCUCUCAUGAAGCUGAAGCUACUCUCCAAAGAAACUGAGUUCUGCUACAGACUUCGGUAUCGGAAAGACCAUAAACUGAAAGCACACAUUACUCCUGCACUCCUGCUUUUCCAAUUGAAGGAAUGAGCCAAUCCCAAUCAUUGUCGCUACAAUCCUUUCAGCUUAAAGAAAAGAUUAUAGCUGUUCUGCGUCCUGCUUUAAGAGAAUACCCCUCUUUUCUGAUAGCUUCUGCUUCCUUGCUUUGGUUUCGGGAACUGGCCUGGCUUGGCUAGCUACAGGCCUAUUGAUUGUUGGCUUUCUUAGGAGUGAAUUCUUUCUGUUCUAUUGACAUGAUAGGAUGAUCCCUGGCCGUUGCCUGUGGGGUUAGAUCUCGUCAAACCUAGCAGCAUGGGAACAGGUCUCCUAAAUCCUCCGUCUCGUGGGACGGGCGCCCUUCAUCUUAAAAGAUACCAUGGGAUAUAAGCGAAGUCACUCGCACUUAUUGAAUAUCACGUCAAAAGAAUAACGUAUAAUAUAAGUGAUUGCUGUGUGGUGUUAGAUCAGAAAGGUGACCACAUCUAGUUCCGAGGUUGCCCUAACCUAACUGUGCUUUCCUAUAUUAUCUUCAUCAGGAAGAAGUAAAUUAAAUUGUAUUUCUUCCUGAAGCACCUACUGAUCAAUAAUAACUGAAUCUGAAUAAGUGAAGGGAUUCACUUUUGAAAAAGUAAGAUCGGAAUCGGAUUGAAGCCUACCGGUGGCUUACUAAUAGAAUAGAGAUCUUCAUUUACCGAAUAAAAAAAGGGUGAAAGACAGAAAAGUCUUGAAAAGAAGAACCACUUCAUUUACGAAAUCUCAUCUAAGAUAUAGAGAAAAAUCUUUCUACUCUUUCUCUUUUCUCGUUUACAUAAUAGGGCCUUACCUUCUUCAUUCAUGACCGAGUAAGAUGCUGGAAAUUGAGCCUUUUUCCUUUUCAUUACAUCCAACCUUUGCUACUUCUGCUACCGUAGCCCUUGCUGAUUUACUUGAUUGGCCCCUUCCACUUCCCCCAUUUUCAACUCGCUUGCCCCGGCUCAAAGAACUCUCUUGAGGAAGUGACUUCGCUCACUGAAGACCUAGCAGCCAUUCUGGAUGAAAGGACACAAGCCUGCUAUUCACUCGAAAUAAAGUUUCAAGUCGGAUCUUGCCGGUUACACCCUUUCUUGCCAUUUACCAUUCUCCGGGUAUUGAGAAUUUAAGGCCGGGGGCUGGGUAUGAUUAAGAUGUUGCUUCUUUAUCUUUAUUAAGAAAGAGAUUUCCCGGUGUGAAUUUCUCCCCUACUGAUCAGACUCCAAGAGCUACAACUGUGCUUAGGCCUACAACGUUUAGCCGUAAACCAGAGCUAAUGAUUGGAGAUCUUCUACCUAGAUAGUAAACAGCUUCCCCAGACCAAGAGCUAGCCACAAGAGCUUUACCAGACUAAUUCCGUCUACUGAGCCCUAGAUAUUAUAGAGACUCAACUCUACUUAAAGAACGUAUCGCCAUGAGCCUGCCCCUACGCAAGAAUUGAAUCAGUAACUGCCUUCGCUACCUGGAGAGCUAACUGGCAAGAAGCAAAAAGAUUCCCAGCUAAUCAGUGAGUAGUGGUCAAAGAGAGCGCGGAGUGGGCAAUAGGAAAAGUUCCAAAGAAUCAUUCUCCUAGUCAAUUCGUUAGCUAAUUCAUCCUAGCCUUGAGCUUGCUUCUAUUAUGAUAGAGAGAGUGACUUUGAAAGAGCUGCUUCUAUAAAUGAUUCAACAAGUGCUACUUGAAAUCAAACAACCUCCCUUUCGUGGAUGAAAUGGAGGGAAAUUCCGUAGAAAAGAGUAAUUGUUUGCAGAGAUAGCUGGCUUAGAUGUAACCUAAUUGGUGAAUCCUUGAGAUACCUGCGCAGAUGUUUGAAGUCAGAAGAGAAGGCAGAAGGAACGGAGAGAGAUGCUUUUCAUAGUUAAAAUAAUGUGCCUUUGUUCUUGGGAUUCGAAAGGACUUGCCAACUGAUCCUAGUAGUCACUUCCUCAACUGCCUUAGUUGAUGUACACUGUCAAAGUAGUUUGUUUGUGCUUGCUUUAGGAAGUAAAUCCACUUUUUCACCCACAGGUACCUCAAGAGAAGUUGCUUUAAAAGAAGUGUAAGCUUACACUUCUUUUAGGUCUAGGAUCAGGAGUUAAACUGAUAAAGAGGAUGCCCACUAGUUCGUUAGUCACCAGCCAUUAAAUAAAGAGGUUGAGCUGUUUCGUACCGGUCUUUCCUGGAUGCUCUUGUUUCCACUGCUGCAAGGAAAGAAAUUUAUUGUUGGGAGCUAAGGAAAAGAUGCUCAUGUGUCUAUUGGUGCUGGAGAGGAACUAAAAGAUAUCCUUCAACGAGAUCCCUCAGUUCCGGUGAUAAAGAAGACAAAAGAGUAACCCUUUCCUUUGGAGAGUUCAGAUAAGCAACUUUACCGGAUAACCUGACUAUAAGUAUAAGUGGAAGAAGUAGAAGCAAGUUACUCCCACAGGUGAUUGAUGAGAACCCAGCCCAGAGCUUGAGGAGAACUUCCUUCCUUGUGGUGUGAAGGAAGAAGGCAACUUGUUGCUGGUGCGACGUAAGCUCAUGCACUGUAGCUAAGGAUGGUUAAGAAGAAGUUGCUAAGAACCACUCAAAAACAGAAAAAGGAAAGGAAAUAACACCAAUUACAGAUUGCAGAUAAAGCAAAAAAGUCAGCACCGACAAAGCAAAGAAGGCAAGCUAGCAGUUCAGCUAUUCCUCACAGCAGGAACUCUUUGAAUGUAGGGGAAUAAAAUAAAUAGUGUAGGUAGUAAGAUACCACUAGGGUCUAUCUCCAAUCCCUAUCGUGAAAUAGCUUAGAUAAAGCUCAUGGGAAAACCACACUGCGACUCCUAAACAGUCAAGAGGAAGGCUUGGACCAGCUCCCGAACUUGUAGGCGAGAAGCUCUUUGUUCGAGUUGACUGUGUGAUUGAUUCGGGUUUUGUGGUUUUAUGGCAACCGGAAACCUUUUCCUGAAUUGAGAAUGAGUAGAAGCGCCUUUUACAGGGGUUUAUGGGAUAGAUGCGGGAAAGAAAGAACUCCCCGCAAGGUUUCACCCUCUGAUUACACUUUUUUAGGGAUGGGAUCUUCUGCCUAGAUUAGAUCUCUCACGGGAUUCAUCUGGCAUUUCUGGAUGGACUGGCAUUGAGCAUGUCAUUCCGGACUUCGCUAUUAUCACAGUCAGAUCGGACAUUGAAAUCUGAAGUCAACUAUCAAGACAGGACUAUCUUAUCUAUUUGAUUUGCUGACAGUUGCAAUAUUGACUUGUUUGUCUUAUCUUCUUUCUGAACUGCCUAUCUUACCUUCCUUGUCUUAGCUGUGCAGAUAUUCUUUCUGCUUUCAGUCACAUUCCCUUUCUUCCGGGAAGGAAGCUCUUGUUUAGCUCGCUUAUCUUCUGUCUCAAAGCCAAACUUUACUUGCAUGUGUUCCGCAUAUGACUAUUUCGAGUGAUUGCUGCUAUCUGGCUUGAGUUAGACAAGCAGAGAAGGAUCUUAUGCCACCGGUGACCGGCCUGUCUAUCUAGUAUCUUUUACUAGGACUAGUAGAGUAGAGGCACUACUGGGCGGGGCUUCCUCGAUCACAGCUUCUCGCUUAGCUAACUGCCAGACAAGGAUGGAAAUAAACUCCUUAUAUAGAAUGCGGAUCGACACAUUCAAUGAAGCAGCCAGUCCGGCAGACAAGCUACUUUCUGAUUCUAGGACUGGCGGAUCCUCUAUCUAUUAGCAUACCCGUACCGGCAGUUAGACUAUCACUCUCUCCCCAAUCAAUCGCAGUAACCGGCUGUAAGACAGCUGACUGUCUACCUGAUUCAGUCUACUGGCAGUGAGUACCAGACUAUCUCAUAGUCUGGCCUGUGCAUCCAAUCAGAUACCAGGCAGGAAGCUUCGAUCACUAUUAGCAUCCACAAAGCCAAUCUCGACUUAAUUAAGAUUAAGUGUAAAAGCAAGGCAAUUGACUCGAUCAAGAAGUUCCAUACCUUCUCGACGCAACUCUAAAAAUUCCUUCUUUGCCCCUCGUCUCUUCCAUACCUUCUUGGGUCAGCAGUUGAUCUCGUUGCCUCCGCCCUUUUGGUGCUAUCAUAUUAUAUAUAAUAUAAGUGAUCUGUUCAUCUAACUAGAAAUAAGAGAAGAAAAGAGAGUUGCCUAGUUCUGAUGAACGCUAUGCUUAAAGGCUACUCGAGUUCAAAGGUUUAGUUGCGUAUCACAGGCCGAAACAGGUGAAAUCAAAGGGCAUUACUUGAAUGCUACUGCGGUGCGGGUACAUGCGAAGAAAUGAUCAAAAGGGCUGUAUUUGCCAGAGAAUUGGGAGUUCCUAUCAUUAUCAUAAUGCAUGACUACUUAACAGGGGGAUUCACUGCAAAGACUAGCUUGGCUCAUUAUUGCCGAGAUAAUGGUCUACUUCUUCACAUCCAUCGUGCAAUGCAUGCAGUUAUCGAUAGACAGAAGAAUCAUGGUAUACACUUUCGUGUACUAGCAAAAGCCUUACGUAUGUCUGGUGGAGAUCCUAUUCACUCUGGUACCGUAGUAGGUAAACUUGAAGGGGAAAUAGACAGAACUUUUGGCUUUGUUGAUUUACUACGUGACGAUUUUCUUGAAAAAAGAUCGAAGCCGCGGUCUUUAUUUCACUCAGGAUUGGGUCUCUCUACCGGGUUUCUGCCCCUUGCUUCGGGGGGUAUUCACCUUUGGCCUAUGCCUGCUCUUACCGAGAUCUUUGGAGAUGAUUCCGUACUACAAUUCGGUGGAGGAACUUUAGGGCACCCUUGGGGAAAUGCACCCGGUGCCGUAGCUAAUCGAGUAGCUCUAGAAGCAUGUGUACAGGCUCGUAAUGAGGGACGUGAUCUUGAGAUCGGUUCUAUUAAGGAUUCGUAACCCUCUCUUUUAGAUGAAUGGCUAAGGGGCGUAGCGCUUACUUAUGCUUGCACUCAGAAAUGCAUUGAAUUUCAACUUUCCUUCCUACAUCAAUAGCAAAUCCAGUAGCAUAGGCAGUUGAUCCAUCCAUUGAAGAAAAUCCUACGUAAUGCCGAUGCAUGAACCCCUCUUGGCCCCCCAAAGGUCCGAAAUAGCCGUACGCACUCCCCCAUAUCCCACUCUGGAGGUAGGGCACGAUAACGAUAAUCCUAUCUUUUUUCUUGAGUGGAAGUAGGAAUGGAGUGGCUCAUGCCAAUGCCAGACCGGAGAAAUCAUACUUAUCGGCUAGCUCAAUCGCAAAUCGGGCAUCCCCAUGAUAGAUUUAGCCAGCUUCUUAGCUCAGCCUCAUGCAGACCCUCGGGACUCGCCAUUCUCACUUAUAUUAGAAUUAGAUAGGAUUCCAUUUCGUCUCCACAAGUUAGCCUGUCUGCCUGCAAGGCCCAAUCGAAGCAGAUUGUCCCCGUGGGUUCCGGAUAGCGCCCCUUCACUCACUUGUGGUUUCGCUACUCUAGGACAUCAAGACCAACUCAGGCUCCAGCCCUAACUUCAGCUUUAGAUUCAACUUCGACUUAGUCCUCAGCUCGUGAAUCUGGCUAUUUCAAGAUAUCCGGAUUCCUUUCUGAUGCGCCUUAUCUAUCCAAAAGGAGAGCCGUGUAAAUGCGGUUUUCCUCUCUUGCAUAGAGCCAACCUUACUCUAUGUGCUGUGAGGAGUUUGCUCCAUCUCCGAUACUGAUCGUCUCGCUCGCUUGAUUGGCGCUUUCACUAUCGAUUAAGGAAGCUACGGCCUCUGCAGCACCACUGGCAUGUAACCUAGAAAGGAUGUUCCCGACCCCGCAUGUCGAUACUUACUCCUAGUUUUAUGGAUGCGACAAAAAUAAUAGAAGCCAGGACCUUGUUCAUGGCGAGUUGGGCCUUUGGCGAUCGCUAGCUUUCCGCUAAGACUAGGGAAGUGGACCCUCCAACAUAGAUUGCAGGGAAGGACCCCUCCAGUGGCAUACUUUAUGGAUAAAGGCUCUCCAGCGGCAGACACCGUCGGAAAGGACUCUUCAACGGAAACAAACGGUCCCCUUUCAACAUGAAUUGACUUUGAACUCUCAUUUCCUACUGUCGGUCAACAAAUUCAUGUCACUUGGUCCAUUUCAAUUAUAAGGAGCCAAACAAUCCCCUCUUUAUUUGAGCAUCGAGCUGGCGGAAAGCCUUCUUCAACAGUAGGAGCGGUGAAAGCCUUAAGCUUCCGAGCUAGGGAAAAGCCCAAUCUUAUGGAGUAAAGGUAAAGAGCUACUAUUAGAGAAGCCAACUUUGCCUUUAUUAAAAAACAAAUGUCCGAGAGAAAGCUCUUUCAGUCAACUCUUUUUUUCCUAUAUCUAAAUCGAUUAUUUAGGUGUGGCAAGAAGAACCAUAAAAGGGAAUUCCUUUACUGGAUCGGAGUGCCGAUUUGGCAACUUUACAAAUCGAACUUUAAUGACCGCGAUCCAGCGCAGCAUCGCUUACCACAUCUCGUGGGAUAUCCAUUCGAAUGUCUUUUUUAUUAGCAACCCUCGAUACAAAUUUUAUGCGUAGGAAGAAAGAUCUUCUUAUACAAACAAGAGCAGAGUCUAUCGAAAGAAGAAAACUUUAUCUGCUUAUUCGGGACCAUAUUAGAAUGAAUAAAGCCUUAGAGAGGUUAGUCAGUUUACUACAAGUAAGGAAGGGGGGUUCUCUUUCAACUAGAGGUUCGUUAGAUGACUGAAAGGAAAGGAACUAGUCCCCUACUUUGGCACAACCUCCUCAGUAUUGCAUAUUUCCACCGUGCUCGCAUAAACGUAUUCUUCUUCCUUAAACUAAGAAAGAUCUGGGUAAGCAUUCCGCUCAUGCAAACUGUGAGUAGCGAUAAGGCAAGGCUAUUGUUGAUGCAUCGAAUCGAUGAGCCCUUCCUCUUUAUCUUUCACCUUUUUCGUACACCGCUCGACGCCAUCCCCCUCGUCGGCGGCGCUAACAUUCGCAUCCGAGAGUUCGCUUGAGAGAGCACUCAUUUUUCUUCUACUUUUAUUUGAUUUUAAUGAACUUAGGACUGUUAGUGACUACUAUCAAGGUCCUUGGGCCAUGAUAGGUGACUUUAAUGAAAUGGUUAACCCUGAUGAAAAGUUUGGAGGAGCUUCCUUUAAUUACAGUAGAGCUAGAGUUGAUUGCAUGAACACCUGUGGUAUGAUUGACUUGGGUUAUACGGGGCCUAAAUUCACUUGGGUGGGAAAAAAGGAUAAUAAAAUCAUUAGAGAAAGACAAGGCUCUGUCAAAAGACCUCUAUUCACUACUUGCUUGACUGAAAUCAUAGGGCGUAGCGAGCGCCUUAGGGAUAAGUCCUAAAGCAGAAGAGGAAGACAUUCAUUAGCUACUGACUUUUCUUACUAAACCGAAUCUUACUUACCUACUUGAUUCCUAUCUGACUUGCCUGACUUUACACUUUUUUACUUGAAUCACUUACUCUAGCACUGAGUCUGACUCUUAUUCUGACUCGUACAAAAGCCAGCUCGUGAGUCAUCUAUCAAGUCUUAGCUUUUCAACGGAUUCGAAAGACCUUCGACUCGUGCUCCCAAUCGUGGAAGCACGAGCCUACUUCCACUUAUAUUUCCUUUAGAAAGGAGAGGAUAUUUAUAACCAACCGGACAUCGCUUUACAACUCAACAACUACAGCUCAACUAUGAACUCAGAACUAUGAGCUACAAACUAGCCUACCUAUCUUGUCUUGACGAACUGCUCUCUUGCUUCUUUCUUGUGUCACUCCUAUGAAUCCUAAACCUGGGAGAGGUUUGAAGACGCUCGACCGUAAGGGAGAGGCAAAGAACGUCCCUACGUACCUACCGCUGGUACUACGGUCCUUUUUAUUAGCGAGCUUCCUGUCCUCUGAUUGAAGGACUUAACCCUUGUUUUGUCUCCCCGAAUAGUGGAUACUCCCAUUCAAAAAGGAUUUUUUGGCUUGGAAAGGCUUUCAAACUCUUUCUUCUUUUCAUCCGAGUCAGCUGACAAUAUCCCCCUUAUCCUGGACCGGAAAAGAACCAACUAGCCUCGGGUUCAGAAGUUCGAGCAAGUGUUGCCGAAAGGUUUCGUGAUUCAUAAGAAAAGUGGAAUCGAGUCGUCCAGCGAAGACUGGUUCGGAGUAGAAAGUGUAGGUUGCCAAUCGUCUCUCUCGGUCUUCAGCUAGCAGAGCAGUUAACGCUCACAAAGGCUUUGUCUUCCUUUCUGUCUAGGUGGAAAGAAGAAAGUUGCUUAUCAAAUCCAUUUCUUCCCGUUCAGCAUUUUGGAUAGUUGGCUUGAUGAGAUCGGCCAACUCCUCUUCUUCAAAGAUUCUCUCAUCUCCCUCUUCAAUAGUUUCAAUUGGAUAACGCGGGGAUCUUUUUCAUUACUAAAAUCGAGUGGCUGAUCAACGAGAGCCUCGUCAUCGGGGUCGCCCUCUAGAAUCGGCUGAUUCUGAUCUGGUAAGGUCGGAGGUCCCUCCCGUAUGAGCAUAUCGGGACGAUGGUUCCCCCGGGAAUCUCCCAUCAGGUGGAAAAUUGAGGUCGAUGACUCCGGAGCUAGAUGGAAUAGAACCGGCCCCCCUGCUUUAUGGGGUUGCAUCAUAUACUCUAGUGGCAUCGUGGCUUCGGCAACAUAGCUUACUGACCCAACAGCGUGGGUAGCAGCUCUUUUCAUUUGGAUAUUGAUAGGAGAGAGAUCAAUGCCCUUAACAAACACGGAAUUUCUUAGCGAAUUCCAAGGCGCCGAAGUCAAAUCACUUUGUCUUGCGGGAGGCUGAUCAGAGAGUUCGUUCCUCUAAGCCCGGGUGGAGCGACGAAGAGAGGAAGCCUCAGAGGUAGAAGCUGGAGGCUCAGAAGAAUCAAGAGAAGAUGUAGAGGACUCAGGAGGAUCAGUGGCAGUACCUGCAGGCGGAGCAGAUUCUGGAGGAGAGGCCGUGAAGACAUCAGAAGAGGAUGUAUUGAGCUCAUCGGAGGAACCUGCAGCAGAAUCACUAGGAAACAACUCCAUCACUUUUCAGGGGGGAUUUGGCCUACCAACUGAAGGCUCGGGUGGUGGAAAGGCAACCUCUAAGGGCGAUUGGAUUAAAGUAAAGAAAAAGGGGAAAGAUGUUCUAGAUAACAGAGUUUCCAAUCCGCCUGUCUCUUCACAAGAGCCAUCGAGGGUUUUGAAGUUAAGCUGUCCGCUUUGAGAAUGGCUCUCCUGACAGGAUUUCGGAUCCUCCUUGUCGUCUAGAGGAUCCUGUUGGCAAUUCCCCUCAAUCCUCUAGCCUUCAACAGUCAGGGGGCGCAACUCUUGCGCUGAGUUAGUCCUUAUUCUAAGUGAUAGCUUUGAUGGACCCACUUCAGUGGCAUAAGUCCAACCCCAAAGGGUUGUCAGCCACCAUCUUUUUUCGAUUUGGAUGUGUUAAGCAUAUUAUUUGCGUUCCCACGAUCAAACUCUUCAUUUGAAUAUGAUUUUUUAGUCAUAUUUGAGUAUUGAUUCGAGUUGAAGCAGGUAUAGAAUAGGCUUCGUCAACGGGGGCUAAUGCACUAUCUCCAGGCUAUCGAAGAUGAAAGAAACUUUUGAGAGUAGAGGUUCUGAAAGAAAGAGGGAACUCCCUUUUUGCUUAGCUUGACCAUAUAGGUCCACUUUCUGUAUUGUUGGAAGAAGCAGUGCGGGUCACUUUGGUAAGCAGUGAAGAAAGCAGAGAUAGAAUUUAGGAAUGCAGUCACGUGCCUUACAACAUUAGGGCUUCUAGACAGGCAGGUAGGAAUGUUGAAGCCGAGAGCUGCAAAGAUGGCAAUUCCAUCAAACAAAGGAAGGAGCGAUCGAGUUGUCCGAAUUAAAACCGAUCCACUAAGGCUCGAAAAAUGGGUCUCAAAGAAAGAAUAGGCCAUCCAACCCCUGUCCCCUUCGACUCAGAAAGAAACUGGGAAUCCAUGUGAAGCAUUGGAGGGCGGUCGAAACUUGAAUGAUACCUUACAACAUCCGGCUCACCCAAUGGAUCAAUCUCUUUUUUGCGUGCUCUCUCCCUUCUGUCAAACAAGGCGGACAUCGCUCCCUCAAUGGGUAGCUCAUCUCAUUGGCUAGCUAGCUCAUAUGGAAUAGGUCUCUGGCUUGCUCCUGUCCGCUCUUUGGUUAUCUAUCGGAAAGAGUCGUAAUCUUUCCUUUCUGUCCACAAAGAAAUGAUUUAUAUUGAUUCCCGCGAAUCUGGAAUCUCUGUAACUAUGGCAAACGGUCAAAGCGUUCUGAUAAUGAUAAGGGAAGAAGAUACGUAAGCCUCUUUUGUCUCGAAAAAAGCCUUUCUUAACUUAAAGGAUAUCUCUUUCUGGUUAUGAUUGAAUCGUCCGGAAUGGGGAAUCCGCUCCUCGCCUCUUCAGAAGCACUGAUUGAGUUCCCUACUAUAUCUGCUUCGUUCGUUCAUCCUUCCUUCCCGCCUGGACAUGCGUUGAAAUAGAAGCUUUCGUUGACUCCGUUCUUAAGUAGGUGGGCUUAAGCUGCUCAGAGCGGAUGGUGAGUUUCUUUCAGAACCUUCUCUCUCGAAAUCAGUGAUUGAAUAGAUAGGCUUGAUCCGAGAAGGAAAAGGAAUGCCUUUCCAUGGAUGGUGGGGAAUGAAAGAAGUGAAUUCAUUUCCAAGAGAACGAAUAUCGCAUAUCGCAACUGACCACUAAUAAUCGAAAUAGUGAUCUCUCCUUCUAUCACAUCUACCUUCCCCACCCAAUUUACCUUUCUAGGUGGGCCGAUGCAUUUCGUCGUUUCAUAGAGCUAUGAUUCGGCAGCGCGAUGACAGGGCAGAUUUCAUUGUCCAAUUUUUUUGGUAUUGUUCUCAAUAUCAAAAUUUAGAUUUGUUAUAGAAUGUCGUUUGGUUUUUAGAGCCCUACAUCCACUCUUUCUCUCUUUUGGAAGAGUGGAAAAUGCCUUUUUCUCUUGCAAAUUCUUGAAUAACUUCAAUUUUUCAACAUCCAUUGAGAUUCUGAAAGAAACUUCUUUUGGCAAGCGGACGGAAAACCGAUGCCGAAACUCGAGUCGCACGCUACCCGAUGACCAAUCCAUCGAUCGCCAUUCACAUGACGGAAGGUGUGAAGCGAUCUCGUACUAAACGAAACUACUUAAAAAAAAAUGAAACCGGAAAGUGUUAAGUUACAGGGGAGUUUACACGGAUGCAAGCAAAUAACUGAUAGUUGUCUGUGCCCAAGGUCAGAUUAUCGACAUCGGUAUUGUCAAAAUCGGGUAGCAAGAAGAUGCAUUGGCUGAUAACAUAUCCAUCGCGCUUUCCAGGUCCGUCCGGACUAGACCAUAGCAAGCUUAUCCACCACUAGCAGCACCGGUUACAUUUUCUCCAGUCGAACUAGAAGCUGCACUUGUUAUAGCAAAAGACAAAGAUGGGGUUGUGCUUCACUGUUUUUUCAAAAAAGAGCACGGUGGAACGAGCUGCAUCAGUAGCGCCCGGUUUUCCACUUGAUGUAAAGCCCCAACCGUGAGUAUAGUGAAUUGGGUAACAACAUUCGAGAUUAGCUAAAGGCGAAAGGCCUCUCCUAUAUCUGCGGGAGCUACGCAUGCAUCCUCACUCAUCCUCCUUAGCGGCGGACAGAAGGCGUUCCACUCUCCAAUAGUUUCGCUAUAGCGACUACGUACCUUCGGACCCUUGCCUUUUUUCAGGUAGCUUUCUUACGCCUAUUCAGCUAGUGGGGCAUUGGUCAUAACCGAAAUUCGUCGAAGAAAGAAAAAAGAAAGAAGAGGAUUUGUUGUUAGCUCGCUCAUAGGUGAGGAAGAAAGGGAUCCUUAGACUCCACUACUAUUGAUACUAGAACUCCCCUUCAAAUUCAAACAAGAAAAGCUCUUUUCUUUAACCGAAGCCUCUAUCAAAGCUUCUUGCAAGAAUAGCUGCUGUCGACCUUUGCCCAAGCAAGCGCUUUUCAGGUAAAGUGAUCGUCCGGUUCUAGCGAUUAGUUUGAUUCCCUUACCGGGCUUCUAGAGGUUAUCGAGUCUUCUUACCUGACAGUACAGUCUGUCUCCCUCCCUACUGGGGUACGUCUUGAUCAAAGAACUCACCUUCAACCAGGUAUGAAGUGACUGGUUCGAUAGGACCAGGCGCACCCCAAUUGAAAGGAAAGCUUAUAUUAUAUAAGGUAUGGGGAAUCCUAUGCUUUCAUAUUUUUGAUUGGCCCGCGAAAAGAGAUAUAGAACUCUCGAGGUGCUCUUUGGUUCAGCUACUUUAGUCGACUGAAGUGAUGGGAUCAGCAGGCUAGCAAGUUAGAUUCCCCUUUCUAUUGGCUAUGGGUUUAAGGCAUUUUCCGCCCAAUAGUUUCGCUAUAGCGACUACGUACCUCGGAUCCACCCCUCUAGUUGCAUUCCUUGCCCCGCCUUCCUUUAGGGAUUCAUUCCCCCUAGUGAAGACACUCUGGUUUGAAAGGGGCCGCUCUCUAGCUCUAGCUAUGAUCUGAUUUGCUAUGUCCUCAUUUCAUCGGUGGAGAAUCUUCUUUCUAUUCCACUCGUCGAUUUAUCUAUUUAUGAUUGAGCUAACUGACUGAAACCUUUCCACUGCGGUCGGGUGGGAUCUAGAUGGCUGGUGGAUCAACGGCUCGCCGUUCAACCAGGGAUAUAUCCUGUUUCAGUUCCCGUUCUAAUGAAGUAAGAGAUCCCCUUAAGGACUAUCUAUUUGGCCGCUGACCUCCAGUCGAAGGAGGCAGUGUAGCCCGCUAACGGUGAUUCCUGUGGGAAGCGCAUUUGCCUUUCAGUGCCCUCGAAAUGCCCCACUCUAAUUUUAUGAAAGAUCUUGUCCUCCUCCUACCUCCGUUUGUUUACUGCAACGGCUACAGAUGCAUUCUGACCUUAGUCCGAAGCACGUAAUGAAAAUGACCCACACAGUUGACUUUACGAAUUACGAAGCGGAGAUCCAGCCUUCCAUUCCCGAAGGCAUCUCAAGGUACGUAGUCGCUAUAGCGAAGUUAUUGGAAAGAAAGCUUCACCUUAUUAAAGAGCUCUUGCCUCCAAUUCAAAACAGAAUAGAACGCUCCUUCUGCAACGCAAGGCCGAUAGUUGAAUAGCUAUAGCUGGUGCUUUGAUUUGAUGUAUGAGGACUACUGAUUUCUGCUCGUAGUUCCUCUCUCCUUAGUCUACUCAUGGUACUCGGUAAUACGCUCGUGAUAGAGUACUCGUGCAACAGCGCUUACGGCUGCUCGUAGCUAUUGUAUGCAUGGGGGUAAUGAGAUAUUGAUUGCACGGUAGUUAGGAGCGAAGACUUUCUCUCGCGGUAGUGCGCUUACGACGUGCUCGCACCGGUCGACUACAAGGCCCUAUACCAAGGUAUAGUACAGGUGGUGGUCUCUCACUGGGGCGAAGUAAACUAGUUGGGUCCUGACUCUCUGUCUCUGCAUCCUGCCCGCUCUUUUUCUCUGACACAAUACCAGUCUAUUCCGGAUCUUCGGAAGCCUGCCAAAAGUACUAAAGAUGGAGGAGCGCUCCAGCGAGCGUCAUAUCGCUUCCAAAGAUUUCGAACGAUUCGUACAAAAGGGUACUCCUUUUUCCAAUGACACGGAGCGGAGGAAGUGUAUUAAGGUUGACGAUUCGCUUUGUGCGGGCUUGCAUCCGAUGCCUUCCAGACAACUGCCUUGUCUAAGUAACCACGGAGAAGAGAGGAGAUCAAAGAAUGCCUACCCCCCUCACUCAAAAAUGCGGGUACAACAAUAAGAACAAGGCGUAAAGCCCUUAAUUAGCACGUAAGAAAGAGCUUCACGCAAUUGCUCAUCUCCUAAACGGGAAGCAACCAAAACCUUGUCGAGGCAAGAUGAGAUAUGGGUCUCUACCUGAGAAAAGAUAGAACAAAUUGUCCGCUCAUCGGUCUUGCGGGGAAAUCAAUCAACAAUUGUUCGCUCAAAAGGCGGAGCCGCCAUCAUGGCUUUUGAAGUACUAAGAGGAAAGUUUCCACGGUGUUGGUC